rnacentral:lncRNA from 1 species
UUUAAAGAUAAAGAGAAGGGUAGCUUUUGAUUUUUAUACAAUUAUACAGGAAAAUCAUUUUGUUAAUCAAAAAACUUUUAUUUUUUAUAUUGAAUUUCAUAUAUAAUUGGUUUUUAAAUCUUAGCUUCGUAAAAUAUGAAAUAAAGAUCUAUCUCCCAGAAGUCACUCGCCAGGAUACACAUGAGCUAGAAACCAACAAGCAUCUGGGGAGACAGAUGGAGUAAAUCCCAAUUCUCUGGAAGCAAUUAAACGCAUGGCAAUUGAUUUUCACAUCUCUAAUCAAUCUGGGGAGGAAUCGAAAUCGAACAGAAAGCAUGUCACAAUGGCAGGAUGACAAAACCGCCAUGGAAUUGGUGAAAUUAAAUGUUGAUGGUUGCAGCAAAGGCAACCCGGGAUUUGCAGGGGCAGGAGGAGUAAUUUGGGAUCACGGAUCAAGGGAUUUGCCAUUAACACGGUGUUCGCUUUUCAGCUAAAGCGGAGCUGUGGGCAUCGAUCACAGGAUUGGAAUUUGCUCGAUCAUUGGGUAUACGUAAGAUUAUUCUUUCUAUAUAUAUAUAUAUAGAUAUAUCCUUUCUGUUCUCAAAUAUUAACUUGGCAACUAAAUGGCGAUUUGGGGAUGUUAUCUGUGACCCAGGCCGCAAAAACUAAAAAGAGUUAGAAUUACUGUGUGAAAGUUCAUUUUAUAGCUUCUUCUUUUGACUGUGGCUUUGGUUUUUAGAAUUUUUUCUAUUAGGAAAAAGGGGGAAGAGAACCACUUGGGGUGACCCCCAUGGAUUCGUGUGAAGACUUGAAGAACAAAAUGAGGGAUCUCGUGAAGAGAUCUCCAUCUGCAAGCAUGGAAGGAGCUACGGAUCACGGGUCGUGAGCUUCAAUGUAUGCAGGGGGCAGGUAGAUAAAGUGAGAGCGUGGUGCCUCAUUUUCAAUAUCUGCGUGCUGCCCUCAUGAUGACAUUAAUCUUAUGUCCGUUGGUUCUUUGAAAUAAACAUUAUGUUCUCUGUUAGGGUGAUCUUUUGUAGCUUUUUUCAAUUCCUUUUCGGUGCUCUAUGGUAUGUUGAUGUAAGCCCUCAACUAGUAAAACUAGCAUAGCACUCUCUGCCUAGCUAGGGCACGAUAAUUGAAAUCAAGCCAUAGCCAUUCCCAUUUCGGUUGAAUGAUCCCUUCCGUCCCAUGUCACUAAUUGACCCUCUGAUGUGACUUGAGAGAUUUUCGCCAUCAUUCUCUACAUCAAGGAGGUUUUCGAUGGGCAACAAGUCGAGAAUACACCCUCGAUAUCCUUAGAUUCUAGGCUGCAUUGCUGCAUAGCUCGCAUGCCUCCUUUUCUC